rnacentral:rRNA from 1 species
UACGUAGGGGGCGAGCGUUAUCCGGAUUUAUUGGGCGUAAAGCGUGUGUAGGCGGUUUGUUAAGUUUAAGAUUAAAGCCUGGAGCUCAACUCCAGUUCGUCUUAAAAACUGGCAGACUAGAGUGCGGUAGAGGCAAACGGAAUUUCUAGUGUAGCGGUGAAAUGCGUAGAUAUUAGAAGGAACACCAGUGGCGAAAGCGGUUUGCUGGGCCGUUACUGACGCUGAGGCACGAAAGCGUGGGGAGCAAAUAGG